UAAUUCUACCCAUCCCUGUUAAACACAAGUCAUUUUCUUCCAUCGCACUCAUCUGGGUGUUUGCUCUUUUCCAUGCAAGCAAAAGAGCGACUUCAGUGUGCUUUGAACCGUGGACGUGAGAGUGUGUGUUUAUGUGCUGCGUGAACUAUUUUUCCUGCGUAAAACACUUACGCGGUGUUCUUUCUGCUUUAUCAGAGGACGAAUUGUUAUCAUCUAAUUGUUUCGUUUCAGAUGUGUGCUGCUACCGCUAGCUGUUCCUCAAACUACUUAAAAAGUGUGACACUGUGUGCACAGGCGUUCAAGUUUCAAUUGAUCCUCAAGCACAAAGCCUUCAUACAACACCGCGGUUGAGGCGCGCCAAAUCUGAUGACAUCUUUCCUGAACCAAGCAGGCUGAACACGCGCACCACCACGGGCACCAGCGCGGUGUGAAGAGGGAAGAAGAAAAGACAGAAUUGGAAACAGCCGCACCACCCGUCCGGCAAAAUGAGUGUAUUUUUUGAGUGAUUUGAGUACCGUCCCCCGUUAGCAGUUACUCUUGGAGGAAUGAGUUACACCCUCGCGCGACCCGUCCGGCAAAAUGAGUGUAUUUUUUGAGUGAUUUGAGUACCGCCCUCCCUUAGCAGUUACUCUUGGAGGAAUGAGUUACACCCUCGCGCGAGCCCUCUCCCUUCCCACCCGGAACGCACGGUGGGCUCUGUAGUUCUCAAUGUGUUGUGUUCUUUCCAAUCAUGCUACCAACACAUCCAAAGAUAUUUGUUUCUUUCGUUUCUCGUUUUCUUUCAUGCAUUGCCACGAUCGCAAAUACGCACUUAUUCUAACAACAAACACAAACACGGUCAUUUUUGGUUACAUUAUACACUUUAUUGAAACAUAAAUUACACUUUCACAACACAUUUAGAAUCCUUCAUACUCACGAAUGGCGUCAUACUACAAAGUACCGGGUCAAGCCAGGCUGCGGGAAACUUGUCGACAAUCUGUGUUGCCUCUGUUCAGCAAAU